CUCCCUCAUCUCUGCACCAAGAGGCUCUCCUGAUGGUUCAGCAUCUGGCCUGACUGUGCCAGGUUCAGCUGAAUAGCCGAGUCCACCCUGGGACUAGGGAAACUGGAGGCCAGUGCCAGCAUGCCCCUGCUGCCCCAGGCCCGUCUUCUGCCGUCCCCAUCAGGAGUCCUGAUCUGACACCAUUGAAAUCACCGGGAGUUUUGCCAUUAGCUCCUACGGCCACGAGUUCACCGGAGCCAGCCUGCCCCAGUGACGGCGGUUGCACCCUACCCCAAACAGACAGGGUUUGAAUUCCACACAUCUCACUGACUCCGACUGUCAGAAAAAUCUCUCCCCUCCGAGCUCAAUCACGCUGUACAAGUUUUGCAUUAAUUUAGAGCUAAUUGUCAGGUCUUUGCCCCAGUUCCUACACCACAACACUGAUGCUGUUUGUUGACUGCGUGUGUGAGACACACGGCACACCCUGGACAGCGAGACCAGACUGCAUCCAGGGGCUUUAACUGCAGAAAAUAAAAAGAGAUGAACAUGAAACAAAAUAAGCCGCUGUGCCCAGGUGAGAGCUUCCUGUGCAGAUCCUUCUACUUGGGACAUGUGCACCCUUGUUCUAAACUUGGGGCC